rnacentral:rRNA from 1 species
CAUGAACGCUGGCGGUAUGCCUUACACAUGCAAGUCGAACGGAAAUUAGCUUCGGUUAAUUUUAGUGGCGGACGGGUGAGUAACACGUGAGAAUCUGCCUUUAGGAGGGGGAUAACUAGUGGAAACACUAGCUAAAACCCCAUAUGCCCACGGGUGAGACAGAGGAAUAAGGUUAAACCAUAACUCCUCUGCCUGAAGAGAAGCUCGCGGCUGAUUAGCUAGUUGGUAGGGUAAUGGCCUACCAAGGCGACGAUCAGUAGCUGGUCUGAGAGGACGAUCAGCCACACUGGAACUGAGACACGGUCCAGACUCCUACGGGAGGCAGCAGUGAGGAAUUUUCUGCAAUGGGCGAAAGCCUGACAGAGCAAUACCGCGUGAGGGAAGAAGGCUUACUGAGUUGUAAACCUCGGUGCCUUAAGGAAGAAGAUCUGACGGUACUUAAGGUGGAAAGCAUCGGCUAACCCCGUGCCAGCCGCCGCGGUAACAC